GAUGAACGCUGGCGGCGUGCCUAAUACAUGCAAGUCGAGCGAACAGACGAGGAGCUUGCUCCUCUGACGUUAGCGGCGGACGGGUGAGUAACACGUGGAUAACCUACCUAUAAGACUGGGAUAACUUCGGGAAACCGGAGCUAAUACCGGAUAAUAUAUUGAACCGCAUGGUUCAAUAGUGAAAGACGGUUUUGCUGUCACUUAUAGAUGGAUCCGCGCCGCAUUAGCUAGUUGGUAAGGUAACGGCUUACCAAGGCAACGAUGCGUAGCCGACCUGGGAGGGUGAUCGGCCACCCUGGAACUGGGCCACGGUCCGGACUCCUACGGGAGGCGGCAGUAGGGAAUCUUCCGCAAUGGGGGAAGUCCUGACGGGGCAACGCCGCGUGGGUGAUGAAGGUCUUCGGAUCGUAAAACUCUGUUAUUAGGGAGGAACAAAUGUGUAAGUGACUGUGCACGUCUUGACGGUACCUAAUCAGAAAGCCACGGCUAACUACGUG
rnacentral:rRNA from 1 species